AAAAAUCAAGAAGUAUUUAAAAUGUUUGGAUUAAAUAAAAGGGUAAAAAAAUGGUUAAAAUAAAUCAUAAGAAGUUAUAAAAAGAAAAUAAAUGAAAUGGCAAUUAUAAAAAAUAAAAGUAGGUGAACUUAACAUUUGCUAAAACCAAGGAUUGAGUCCAUGGCCUGGUGGGAAGCAGCGGAUGCCUCAACCACCCAGCCAUUGGUGACUAGUUGUAAAAUAUAUC
rnacentral:lncRNA from 1 species